rnacentral:rRNA from 1 species
UACAGAGAGUGCAAGCGUUAAUCGGAAUUACUGGGCGUAAAGCGCGCGUAGGUGGAUAUGUAAGUCGGAUGUGAAAGCCCCAGGCUUAACCUGGGAAUUGCACCCGAUACUGCGUAUCUUGAGUAUGGUAGAGGGAAGUGGAAUUUCCGGUGUAGCGGUGAAAUGCGUAGAUAUCGGAAGGAACACCAGUGGCGAAGGCGACUUCCUGGACCAAUACUGACACUGAGGCGCGAAAGCGUGGGGAGCAAACAGG